GAUGAACGCUAGCUACAGGCUUAACACAUGCAAGUCGAGGGGUAACAAGAGAAAGGCUUGCUUUUCUUGUUGACGACCGGCGCACGGGUGAGUAACGCGUAUCCAACCUGCCCAUAACUAGGGAAUAACCUUGCGAAAGUAAGACUAAUACCCUAUAAUUUCCUUUGACGGCAUCUGACGAGGAAUAAAGAUUUAUCGGUUAUGGAUGGGGAUGCGUCUGAUUAGCUUGUUGGCGGGGUAACGGCCCACCAAGGCAACGAUCAGUAGGGGUUCUGAGAGGAAGGUCCCCCACAUUGGGACUGAGACACGGUCCAAACUCCUACGGGAGGCAGCAGUGAGGAAUAUUGGUCAAUGGGCGGAAGCCUGAACCAGCCAAGUAGCGUGCAGGAUGACGGCCCUAUGGGUUGUAAACUGCUUUUAUACAGGAAUAAAGUUAGCCACGUGUGGUUAUUUGUAGGUACUGUAUGAAUAAGGACCGGCUAAUUCCGUGCCAGCCGCCGCCGUAA
rnacentral:rRNA from 1 species